AGUGAACGCUGGCGGCGCGCUUAACACAUGCAAGUCGAACGAGAACGGGUUAUAGCUUGCUAUAAUUGUCAGCUAAGUGGCGCACGGGUGAGUAAUGUAUAGGUAAUAUGCCUCUUACUAAGGGAUAACAAAUGGAAACGUUUGCUAAUACCUUAUACUCCUUAUUAACAGAAGUUAAUAAGGGAAAGAUUUAUUGGUAAGAGAUUAGCCUGUAUUGUAUCAGUUAGUUGGUGGGGUAAUGGCUUACCAAGACUAUGACACAUAACUGGUUUGAGAGGAUGAUCAGUCACACUGGAACUGAGACACGGUCCAGACUCCUACGGGAGGCAGCAGUGGGAAAUAUUGCACAAUGGACGAAAGUCUGAUGCAGCAACGCCGCGUGGAGGAUGACACAUUUCGGUGCGUAAACUCCUUUUAUAUGAGAAGAUAAUGACGGUAUUAUAUGAAUAAGCACCGGCUAACUCCGUGCCAGCCGCCGCAGUAA
rnacentral:rRNA from 1 species